AGGGUAUGCUCCGAGCAGAGGCCUGAAGAAAUGUCUUCUCCAUCUAUAACACACCCUACAGGAAUCUGGGUCAUUGUGAUGGGGGCAAAAACCUGUGGCCUCCUCAUGAACAAAUUCCCUGCAUGU